UACGGAGGAUCCAAGCGUUAUCCGGAAUCAUUGGGUUUAAAGGGUCCGUAGGCGGUUUAGUAAGUCAGUGGUGAAAGCCCAUCGCUCAACGGUGGAACGGCCAUUGAUACUGCUAGACUUGAAUUAUUAGGAAGUAACUAGAAUAUGUAGUGUAGCGGUGAAAUGCUUAGAGAUUACAUGGAAUACCAAUUGCGAAGGCAGGUUACUACUAAUGGAAUUGACGGCUGAUGGACGAAAGCGUGGGUAGCGAACAGG
rnacentral:rRNA from 1 species